rnacentral:rRNA from 1 species
UACAAAGGGGGCGAGCGUUGUUCGGAAUUACUGGGCGUAAAGGGCGCGUAGGCGGCGACUCUAGUCAGAUGUGAAAGUCCUGGGCUUAACCUGGGGACUGCAUUUGAUACUGGGUUGCUUGAAUUCGGGAGAGGAUAGCGGAAUUCCCAGUGUAGAGGUGAAAUUCGUAGAUAUUGGGAAGAACACCGGUGGCGAAGGCGGCUAUCUGGACCGACAUUGACGCUGAGGCGCGAAAGCGUGGGGAGCAAACAGG